AAAUGUCAACUCUUCACCGUAACGCAUACCCUAGUGACAGAGCCAAAGACGAAAUUAAGAUAUCAAUGAAGGGUCCAAAUUUCGAAUGUGUUAUCGAUCCAUCCAGCACGAGAAAGAUCAUAUUCACGGUGAACAACUAUGAAGUACAAAUACAUGUAGUGCUAAAAACCAAAGAAGAAAAGGAGUUCUUGACGAAGGAUGUGCAGCCUCGAGAAGAACUCAACAUCGAAGACAUGGAGUGGGACGGGGUCGGAGACACGCGAUGAAGAAAUGUCCGAGAUAGGACCACUGCGAUCUGGUGAAUGAAGGCCAGUGUCUCUGGGAUUGCCUGAGGAGUAAUCACGGAUCACAAUUAGCUUGGGGGAGGGGGCAGGAGGGGGUGGGGUAAAUGGCUAGACAAUCCAAAAUUUUCUGAAAUAGAUGCCUGAAAUACUUUAAUAUAAUCUCCCUAUGCUGCGUUUGACCACAUUUUUUUCAAAAAAAAAAAAAUUCUAACAGAAAAUAUACAAAGUAAUCAAAUGUGUUUGUUUGCAUUUCAAACUGAGAACAAGAUGAAUUUACAAAUAUAAUAAUGAAUUUAAUAAUCAUACACCUUCUAUAUCUAGAUGUAAUAUCUAAGGAAAUACGGGGAUCCACAAAACAGCAUAGUGUGUAUGGUAAUGAUAAUGUGGACCCAGAAAAAAAAACAAAUGCAUUUAUGACCUGCUUGGCAAAGAGAGCAAAAACAAGGGCAACAAAUAAAUUAUCAGCUGAAAAGGAAAAUAUGGGACCGUUUUAAUGUACACUUUGCUUUUAAAGUACUAAAUAAUAUGGUAAUCAAAAAUUAUUUCAUUAAACUCAUUCAUUUUUUUUCUUCGAUUUUCAUAAGGUAACUUGCCUACAGGGUAUACUGUGCUCUUAUUACUCGUAAGAUAUCUGUAAUGUACAUUAAAAAAAAUCUUGUUUAUAUUCGCGUAUAGACAGCUGAGAGGCUUUUUAUUAAUUAUGAAUAUAUCUUUGUCGUAUUUUUGUAUAUAUUCUGGACACAUAAGAGGCCUUUUGUAAAACUGAUUAAUUUUAUCAUGUGUGUGUUUAGUCAGAAGGUGAUGUCAGAAUUCUUAGAUUAAUGAGAAGCGGAGGGGGAGGGGCAGGAUAGCGAUCUAAAGAGGGGUAUGAUGUAGAUAAUACCUGUCCAAUUCAUUAUUUUCCAUUAGAAAUAAGGAUUCAAUGGGAUGGGGUAAACUAUAACCCCCCCCCCCCCCAACGGAUUUUCUGCGGUGUUCGAUUGAUGUGAUACCAAUUGAUACGAUUCUGAUUCACAUGAUUUGUGAGGGGGGGGGGGGGUCAGUUUUCCUCCCCAAUACAGUUGUCAAAACAUGAUUAUUCAUAAUUAUUCAACUACUUUGAUAUGUGUAUUAAAUUGUUAUAUUUCAUAUGCAAUUCAAUGUGUAUUUUCUGGUGCAAAAUUCAUUUUGAUGUUAUUGUAGCAAUAAAUGAACUGAAAUGCAAUUGAUUUAGGUUUAAUCUAGUGGUAGCAUGGUAAUGAUCACAAUACUGAUUUUUAUUGUCAUGAUUUGGUGCCGCGACUGAUAACUGUAUAACAAUAACUGACAUAAUUAAAACAAUAAAAUAAUGUUUUCAUCGAGUGAUCAAUAAAUACAAAGUGAUUAUACAUUC